rnacentral:rRNA from 1 species
UACGGGGGGGGCAAGCGUUGUUCGGAAUUAUUGGGCGUAAAGCGCGCGCAGGCGGUUCCUUAAGUCUGAUGUGAAAGCCCCCGGCUCAACCGGGGAGGGUCAUUGGAAACUGGGGAACUUGAGUACUGAAGAGGAAAGCGGAAUUCCACGUGUAGCGGUGAAAUGCGUAGAGAUGUGGAGGAACACCAGUGGCGAAGGCGGCUUUCUGGUCAGUAACUGACGCUGAGGCGCGAAAGCGUGGGGAGCAAACAGG